rnacentral:rRNA from 1 species
AACGUAGGUACCGAGCGUUAUCCGGAUUUAUUGGGCGUAAAGAGCGUGUAGGCGGCCUGACAGGUCUGCUGUGAAAACUCGAGGCUCAACCUCGAGAUGUCGGCGGAAACCGUCUGGCUAGAGUCCGGAAGAGGAGAGUGGAAUUCCUGGUGUAGCGGUGAAAUGCGCAGAUAUCAGGAAGAACACCCGUGGCGAAGGCGGCUCUCUGGGACGGUACUGACGCUGAGACGCGAAAGCGUGGGGAGCGAACAGG